GACGAACGCUGGCGGCGUGCUUAACACAUGCAAGUCGAACGGAAAGGCCCUGCUUGCAGGGUACUCGAGUGGCGAACGGGUGAGUAACACGUGGGUGAUCUGCCCUGCACUUCGGGAUAAGCCUGGGAAACUGGGUCUAAUACCGGAUAGGAGCCAUUUUUAGUGUGAUGGUUGGAAAGUUUUUUCGGUGUAGGAUGAGCUCGCGGCCUAUCAGCUUGUUGGUGGGGUAAUGGCCUACCAAGGCGGCGACGGGUAGCCGGCCUGAGAGGGUGGACGGCCACAUUGGGACUGAGAUACGGCCCAGACUCCUACGGGAGGCAGCAGUGGGGAAUAUUGCACAAUGGGCGCAAGCCUGAUGCAGCGACGCCGCGUGGGGGAUGACGGCCUUCGGGUUGUAAACUCCUUUCGCUAGGGACGAAGCUUUUUGAGACGGUACCUAGAUAAGAAGCACCGGCUAACUACGUG
rnacentral:rRNA from 1 species